rnacentral:misc_RNA from 1 species
UGUUGGUGUUACAGGUUCGAAUGUUUAAUUUGCUCUCGCGGAAUGACGACAUUCUCUGGAGCCGGAUUGAUGACUCUUUAAUUUGACGUCACGUGUCACAAACACGCGUGCUGAGCAGCUCCUGGCAUAAUAAACUAGCUGAUGUUUUGAUAAAUUUCCGGGGAAUGCCAAGAUACCGAAUUUUGCUGCGUUAAAAGUUUUCAAUGGUGAAGGCAGAGCUCUGCCCUAAUGUUUAACUUCCGAGGGAUUCAACUCCACAGAAAAGAACUUUACCCUUUGUUAUCAAUACUUUUGGGCACAUUUCUUUUCGGUGCAUUAGUUAACGACUUUGUUUCAAUUAUCAACGUGGAGAUGCCUGAGAAUUCGACUCACGAAUUCACGUUUACCGUCCUGUUACUCCACUGUGCGUCCUUCGUACUGGCUAUCCUUGGAUUUAUAUACAACAGUCUGGCAGAAAAGGAAAUUGGGACUGGAUUAGGAAAAGUUUCAGCAGGUAAGUGCGACUUGUCAUUCAAAGAUGGCAUCACUAUGGAAACAACACUUGAUAUCGCUUCAUUCAGUUCUUUGUGCGAAACGUUUUCUUUCUCCGUUUCUUUUCAGCUUUUAACAUGGGUUUAUUUAUUUCACGAAUAAUUCUCGAAUUAGCCUUCAUCGAAUUCCGACCAGAAGAAAUGCCAACAACAACGUGAUGUGGACACCAAUGAAUAAUCAUCGUUAGGUUAAAACAAGUAGUUAGCAAUUAUUUUAAGCGGUAAAAAAUGUCAAUCAACACAAGAACCCCCUGGUUGAAGGAAUUUGAAGGAGAUUAACACGACAAUAUGUCUGGUUCACCGUGAUUCAAGUGGACGACUCAAACGCAACAUAGCAAAUGUCAAUGAGUGCGUUUAUUAUGAAUGAUUUAUCAUCACGUGAUCAUGCUCAAGCGAAAUUACGACGCAAUGUGUCUGAGAAAGUAAAAGCCCAGAUAAAAUUUAUGGUUUAUUGAGGACGCGAAUUCAUUCUUUGCUACUGCUUGUUCACAUGAAUGUUGUCUUGUAUUUGAGUUUUAUGAGUAGAAAUAGUUAGAAAUUAAAGAUUUAUACAACCAUUAAAGAAAAAAAAACUGGAAUUGGUCCACAGAAUCAAGUGCGUGUUGACUGAUAGUUUAAACUAAUCUCGUUCAGUAUCACUUGGCGAGUUCACUGUCAUGCAGAUCUCACCAAACAAAAGCUGACGUGAAGCUAGAGGUGCGAAAGCUGGUGCGCCUGAUUCCCUAAAGGAGCUCAGUCAACUUAUUUUGAGUUAUUUUGGCCACGUACAAAAGGAAAA